rnacentral:sRNA from 1 species
GGAAGCGGUUUGGGAGAGCCCAUGGUGACUACGUGAGUGGAGCCCAGCUGUGUGGAUGCCCCAGCAUGGAUGACUACAUGGUCCUGAGAAUGAUUGGGGAGGGCUCCUUCGGCAGAGCUCUUUUGGUUCAGCAUGAAAGCAGUAAUCAGAUGUUUGCCAUGAAAGAAAUAAGGCUUCCCAAGUCUUUCUCUAAUACACAGAAUUCUAGGAAGGAGGCUGUUCUUUUAGCCAAAAUGAAACACCCUAAUAUUGUUGCCUUCAAAGAAUCAUUUGAAGCUGAAGGACACUUGUAUAUUGUGAUGGAAUACUGUGAUGGAGGUGAUCUAAUGCAAAAGAUUAAACAGCAAAAAGGAAAGUUAUUUCCUGAAGACAUGAUUCUUAAUUGGUUUACCCAAAUGUGCCUUGGAGUAAAUCACAUUCACAAGAAACGUGUACUACACAGAGAUAUCAAGUCCAAGAAUAUCUUCCUCACUCAGAAUGGAAAAGUGAAAUUGGGAGACUUUGGAUCUGCCCGUGUUCUCUCCAAUCCGAUGGCAUUUGCUUGUACCUAUGUGGGAACACCUUAUUAUGUGCCUCCAGAAAUUUGGGAAAACCUGCCUUAUAACAAUAAAAGUGACAUCUGGUCCUUGGGUUGCAUCCUGUAUGAACUCUGUACCCUUAAGCAUCCAGUAAGUAUGGCGUGCAAAAUGGAAAAGGCAGCUUGUCAUAUCUAGCUGAGUCCUAAUAAUGUGACAGAUUCUAGUUGGCAGUUUGCUUCCCUAGGAUGAAGUCAUUAUAAAAGUUUGUAUAUGUUUCCAGUGCAGUCAUCUGCCCUGAGUUAGUUUUGUAGCAUAUACUAAUAGGAAUUUUCCAUUAUUUAGUUUGGCUGUGCAAUAUAUAACCUUUCUCUCUCUCUUUUUCCUUCUCUUUUCCUCUUUUCUUUCUUUUUGCUAUUCUUAAUUUUUU